AGGACGAACGCUGGCGGCGUGCUUAACACAUGCAAGUCGAACGGUGAAGUGAGGAGCUUGCUCCUUGCGGAUCAGUGGCGAACGGGUGAGUAACACGUGAGUAACCUGCCCUUGACUCUGGGAUAAGCACUGGAAACGGUGUCUAAUACCGGAUACGACCUCCGAAGGCAUCUUCUGGAAGUGGAAAGAAUUUCGGUCAAGGAUGGACUCGCGGCCUAUCAGCUAGUUGGUGAGGUAACGGCCCACCAAGGCGACGACGGGUAGCCGGCCUGAGAGGGUGACCGGCCACACUGGGACUGAGACACGGCCCAGACUCCUACGGGAGGCAGCAGUGGGGAAUAUUGCACAAUGGGCGCAAGCCUGAUGCAGCAACGCCGCGUGAGGGACGACGGCCUUCGGGUUGUAAACCUCUUUUAGUAGGGAAGAAGCGAAAGUGACGGUACCUGCAGAAAAGCACGGCUAACGUACGUGCCAGCAGCGCGGU
rnacentral:rRNA from 1 species